AAGGGUUCUUUAAAGAAGCUGGAUAAUGGGGCACUCCUUGCAUAAGGAACUGAGCGAUUCAACAGCCUCAUCAGUCCUGCUGCAAAUCUCUGCUCACACCAGAAGGGAAUUCAAAAUUGUUCAGUGGUGCUGUUGUGGAUUUCUGAGCCUCCGAGACAGGACCAGCAGCCACAGAGGUACCUGGCAUUCACGUCUGUGAACUCCUGGGACACAUGGGCUGCUUUCGAAGAGUCUGCAAAAGGUAAUUAAGAAGAGUAACCUAUUGUCAGUCAACUUCAGUUUGCUGUAUAAGGACCACUGCAGAUCUAUUGGAAAAUGCUUAGGACUCUUCAAACUGAUAUAAGUGCACCAUCAGCUGUCAGUGUGGCAGGUGGCAGUCAGCCUGGAAUACUCAGCUGCAGGGAUGGAGAGAAGAACUUUGUGAGAGCAAGUGAACAGGAAAGAAGUAGGGCCGCUAGCAAAGGACAUCAAAAAAAAAAGAAAAAAGAGGACAGCAGGACUUUGUGGACAAUGCAUUAGAAAUAGGCUGGCAGUGUGUAGAAUAAAGAAAAGUAGUUUGGAACCAGAAAUUAUUUGGUUACAGGAAUGUGCUUUUGACAACUAUCUUGAAUGUCUAAACUUCCUGUGCCUGUCUGUAGCUUUCAGAUCUGCUGUCCUCAGCAAAGGACAUUUGGGAGCAGAGUGCUCUUCAGUGAAGCUGGGAUGCUGCUCAGGAUCUUAAUUCUGGGUUUGAAACUUUCUGGUUAGGUGAGCUGGGCUGGUUGCUUUCCCUGAUUUUUAAGUUUUUACAUCUGUAGGGGAAGAACAUAAUCAUGCUUCAUGGAGAUGUUUACAGGAAUUUGUAAUAUGCAUAGAGUGCUUUGAACUUGAGGAGUUCUGUGGAUGUAAUGAUGGACCUUAAUCCACCUGUCCAUACAGAUAACCAUUUCUUUAAAAGAGAUAAAGUGACACCUGCCAUCUCAAUCUAAACAGGGAACGUUACCAUCCACCCCAUAGCCUGAUCCCUACCCCUGCCUGAAGUGGAACAGACUCCAUCUUCUGGGUGUGAUUCUCAUAAAGGAACACAACAGGUAGCAACCAGUGCAUGCACCUCAGGGUAAGUAGGUGUCACACAUAUGUCACUGAAAGCAUAUGUUAAUGCUCCUGCAUCAUGCCUGUGAUGCCCUGCUCUUCACCUGUGCUUUCAGCUUCCCUCAAGGGUAGUGGUUUGAAUCUCUGGUGUUGUUCAUUAGCAUAUGUGCAGUAACCUGCCACAAUCUUACAUCUUGACUACUUACAUGACACUAGAGCCAGUG